GUGUGUGUGUGUGUGUGUGUGUGUGUGUGUGUGUGUGUGUGUGUGUGUGUGUGCACUAGAGUGUGAUGGAGGUUUUUGUACGAUGGUUUCAUUAGAAUGUAUCACUGUGGUACACUCUUGGUGGAGGCUCCAAACUCAUUGUGAACACUAGUCCUGUGGUGAAUCCCUCCGUGUCUCUGCUCCCUCCGUCCCCUCUGCAGCCAUGUGAAGGAUCGGCAUCGCUGCUCUGCCUGCUGUCUGGCUACUCUCCACAGGGGGCGCUGGUGAGCUGGACAGUGGACGGCUCCGAGGUGAAGAACGGGGUUCUGACCAGCGCUGAAGAAGAGAAGGAUGGUCGUUACAGCCGCAGCAGCACCCUGACCCUCAGCAAAGACCUCUGGGAAAAGGGGGAGGAGUUCAGCUGUAAGGUCUCCCAUAACAACGCCAAUCAUCCAGUCACGUUCAGAAAGAGUCAGUGUGAAGGCUAGUGGAUCCAAGAUAGAGUUUAACAUAGAGCUGCUUAUCAUCCAUCCUAAAUAGAGUUUCAAUUCUACACAAUGCUGACAUUUCUGUCUUUACUCUGUUCACUGUCCUGUUGCUCUUCCUGUAGUUUUUGCUGAAAUAAAGCUGAGUUUUGGACGUUGUUUGUUCUUUUAUUCCAGUUAAUAGUGAUGAUCAGUGUGAUGAGAGAGUGGGAUUAGCUGUAGAUUCAGUGCUGUGUGUUGUGCUUCAGUGAGUUUGACUGAAGGAAGUUGAACAUCUGGUGAACUUUCUGCUCUAUUCUGGGAGAAAUGAAACUCUAAAUGUAAAUCUCACUUCCACCUCACUGCUCUCUCCUUAAGUGAGGUUUAAUAUGUAGGGUUUUAUUUUUUUUCUCUUUCUAUCGUUUAAAAUUUCAUUUUUAUUCUCUAUGAUAUCUUACAUAUUAAAUGUUCUAACUGCAGUCUGCUGCAUUGUUUAUUUCCUGUAGGACUGAAUCUGCCUCUCUAAUAGCUCCUAUAACACACCUCACACCUUCUGAACAUCUGAAUAAAUAAACAUUAUAAUUAUUGUGACAGGACGGCUAAUAGACACUUGAGAAUGAGUGAAGGGGCAAACAUGGUUUAUAGAAGUGAAUAAUAAGGUUGCAGGAACAGUGUAAGUGUUAUUAAUGCACUUUCACUAGACAGACCUAAGUAAAGACCAAACCAGAAAUCUCUGUGCUUCAAGACAUGUGAUCUACCUCCACACCACUGGGUGGAACAGAUACAGGAAAAGGCAGGAAAC